rnacentral:rRNA from 1 species
UGGGGAAUAUUGCACAAUGGGCGCAAGCCUGAUGCAGCGACGCCGCGUGGGGGAUGACGGCCUUCGGGUUGUAAACCUCUUUCAGUAGGGACGAAGCGUGAGUGACGGUACCUACAGAAGAAGGACCGGCCAACUACGUGCCAGCAGCCGCGGUAAUACGUAGGGUCCGAGCGUUGUCCGGAAUUACUGGGCGUAAAGAGCUCGUAGGUGGUUUGUCGCGUUGUUCGUGAAAACCGGGGGCUUAACCCUC